GGAGAUUGUGUCCUGAUGAGCCUCGAAGAAGGACCCAUUUGACUACCGAGUAGUUCAGAAUGAAAAGCAGGGGAACUGCACCAGCAGUCGGCUGCGGCUUGUCCCAGUGGCCAAACUACAGACAGUCCGACUGAUAAAUCGACACAAAGACUCUAUUUUUUGCUUUUACUUUACUCUCCCACCCAGUGCAUUCCCAAGAAGCCAAGUUCUUAUUAAAGACGCCAUUCAGAGAUGUCUGGGAAGUUCAAUAACUUCAGCCUAAUUUUCGCGUUUCUUGCUGGACCACCUGAAUUUGAAAUUUGCAACCUUUCUUUUUAGCUUACUUUUUACUUUUUGACCUCCACCUCCCCUCUCCUGGCCUCUUUCUCGACCGUACUCCCUCUCUCCCCGGCAGGACGCUCUGUUUCCUCCCCGCUUUGUGGGAACGGGAAGCAGCCAAAUUGUUUUGGAGCUGACUGGGGUCUAAUCAUUGAUAAGCAGCGACUCUUGGAAAAGGACAGGGAUGGCCUGCAGCCGGGGGACAGACAGGACGGUAACACUGUUAUUGUAUUAGCUAUAAUCCUUUUGCGUUAGUGGCUUUGGCACAUCAAGCGGUCGGGUGGGUCAUUUUAAAACCAGGAACAGGUUCCACAUAGUUCCAUAUUCCGACAUCUAAUUUAGUAUUUACGGUGAUGACAACAACAAGCAGUGAUGUUAAUUUUAAAACGUUAACAUGUGGUGUGAAGUGAAAUAAAUCAUCGGACAUGCAGAUUCAAAACAGGCCAACAGUUCAAAUUUUUUUUCUAACAAAUGAGUCAUCAUUUAAAAAGUGAAAAGAUGAUGGAUGACUCAUUUGUUGGCAAACUAACAUAAAGAUUAAUUUUAAUUUAUUUAGAAAUGACUAAUUCUUUACCUCUUCCUGUCAGUCUUUUCCAAACAGCGAAAAUAAAAAUCCAAUCAGAACUUUUUCAACUUAACGAGCAACUUUGCAGAUGCUGCUUGCUUGGCUUUUCUCUUGUUACAAACAGGCUACAGAAUGCGAAAAUGAACCAAAGUUACUCCAAAACAAAACUAAUCAAAAAACCUAACAGGUCUGUCGCAUGAAGCUAUAAUUGCAAGUCGGCAUGGAGGGGCAUCAUGCGUCACUAGUCUGGAAUAAACUGCAAAAACACGGCAACAGUUGUAAAACAUUGAGUUCAUUUAAAUUAACCUUAAAAAUCCAGGUAUCUAUACUUGACUUUUAUUAACAAUAACUGGAACAUUCAUUAAUUAUAGUCUUCAUUCCAGUAUUGUAUGAUGAGGAUUUUGAUUAUUUUUAUGACAUUUGAGAAAAUGUAAUGUUUGUUGCUUAAAUGUUGUUUUAUGAUUUUUUUUUUUACCCGUAAAGCACAUUUAACUGCCUGUUGAUGAAAUGUGUUAUGUAAAUAAACCUAUAUUGCAUGAGGUUUAUUUCAAAUAUAAUAACGUAUACAAUUUGUUUAUAAACCAAUUUUAUAAAUUGUUAAAAAAGUUUUUGACCCAGUUAUACAGAUCAUAUAAAGAAAUCCUCAGUCGAUGAAUGAUUUCUGGUUUGUUGUGGCUGCUGACUUUAAAGCUGCUGAUGUUCAGACCGUCUCAGGUUAACCGAUAACCUCAUUAAACUGGAUUUCAAAACACGAUUCUUUCAUUUCAAGCCUUACAAUCGGUGCGGCUUCCUACAGUAGUUAGUGCUGAAGAGACGCGUGUUGCAGUACAGACUGCUGUGUGUCGUUGCAGGUGUGUUGGACAGUCGGGAGGCAAAAAGCAUCAAACGGCAGAGAAAUGGAGAGUUCUGCAAGCAGUUUGGAGCUUUUGGAUCCAAAACAGCACCGUGUUUUCAGUAGCGCCAGCGGAAGGGGAGCAUACAGUACCACUCUUUAGAAAUACUUUCACUGUGCUGCCGUGUUCAACUCAGACUUGUCCUUCAGAUCGACGCAGAGCCGUUUAACUGUUAGCCCAGCAGCUUUUUAUUUACAAUAAAUGAAUAUAUAAGUGAAGCACACUAAAUAUUAUGGCUUUCAUAUUUUGCUGUGUCACUUCUAUUAUCUUACGUUAACAGGAUAUAUCAAUUAUUAUUAUUAUUAUUAUUAUUAUUAUUAUUAUUAUUAUUAUUAUUAUUAUUAUUGUUGUUGUUGUUGUUGCUGUUGUUGUUGUUUUGUUGUGGAUGGGGCUCAAACUGCAUUUUCCUUGGCUAACUAUUUACUUACGCACAUCCUGUUAAUGCAUCUUGAGAAACGUUCAGCCAUGACAUGUUUUUUUUUUUUUAUCAGGCCUUUUCCUUGGUUUAGACUGGAACGUGUGCAACAUUAUGAAAAUAAAAACGCUUACAUGUUUACAGUCUUGUCAAUGUACUAGACGCUUCUGGGUUUGUUGUACAUGCGCUGAAUUUCCGCGUAAUAUAUAACUCUGUCAUGCUUGUACUUUCUGAAAUGUAUCACAGUAUUCGAGGGGGUUACGCACAUGUGAAAGCUUUGGAGGCUGUCAGUGUGGGAAGCCGUCAAUAUUUAGCCUGUAACGUGAAGCUGCUGCUCUUUGUGGAUCUACAUUUAGAGACAGUCUCCUCUGGACUCCCACGACUUCCAACGAUGAUAAUAAGCCCGAACGUUUCAACUUUUCCAACGGAUAUACUUGUUAAGCUGGCUGUAUUUCUGCGCAGUAAAUCAGACGUGUGUGUCUGUGUUAACUUCAGUGUAAACAUCUGAGGGCCGCUGAAGGAAGCCCAGGAAUGUGAGAAACUUCAGAGAUCAGUGACAAUUAAAGCUAAAAGAGUCGGACCUCUAUUUUAUGGCUUUAUGGCUCUUCUUUUCUCCCGUCUGUGUGCGUGGGUGUGUUUAGUGUGCGCGCGCAAGACAUCGGAGAUUUUAUGGCUUUAUUGCUCUUUAUGACUCCUUGUAAAGUCGAGAGAUGGCGGCGAAGUGAAAACAGAGCCGCUGGAAGCAGCAGAUGGAUAAAUGUUCUGUUCAGAGGAAUGCAUGCAUGCACCGAACAGAUUGCUUCAUAUCAGCUGCAGCGCUGUUCUCCCUGUAGAGAUGUUUUCCACUAUCCUAUAUAUCUUCCACAAUAUCUCAUAUUGCUCCGUCCAAUUAUGUGUCUAUUUAUACAUUUAAAAAAAAAUACUCGUUUCCUUAAACCUUAAGAUUAAAGGGGAAAAAACGAACCGAAACCGACCAGUGUGAGAAUAAAGAAUAAAGGGAAGAUACCAAGAUUGUCUUAUUUUUAUAUCGUGGCCAACACACAACAAGAUUCUAGUGCUGAAAGAAGGAUCAAUACACUUUAAUGAACAGGGGUGUGUGUGUUGUGUGUGUGUGUGUGUGUGUGUGUGUGUGCUAGAGCCCCCUCUAACUGACCUCGCCUACGUGAGUUAAUGACAAACUCACAGAAACGGCCUUACUUGCGCGUUUUUUGUCUUAAUGUAUAAAUUGUUUCCAGGCAGCGACAAGCGGCUGAGCCUCAUCUGCAUCACCCUGAACUCCUGCUCCGGAUCACUUCACCGGACGAUCAGCAACUGGAGCAGCCCUCCAGCUUCUCAAGCGAACCGGAGGUUAAAUGUUAACUUGGAAUGAAUGCGGCUCUGCAAGCUUGUAUUUUUUUUCUAAAAAUAAAUAAAUAAAAUAUAAAAACAUGUAAUAAUAAUAAUAAUAAUAAUAAUAAUAAUAAUAGUGGACAUUGGCGCAGAAUAAAUAAAUAACCUCCAUCCCCUGCAGAUCAAAAUUCAGCUUCAAAGUUUGAAUUUCAAUUGAAAUUUGGAAUUCUACAUAAAAAGAAGAUUCAUCAGCCGCUGCGCUUUAAAAAUCGAUGUGGGUUCUCCAUAAAUGAUUCGUUAUACACACGCAUGCACGCACAUAGAGGAGCGCACACGCGCGCAUCUUUGAACGCUUUAUAGAACAUUGUUCUUAUUCGUGUUCAUUAACAAACAAUUAAACAGUACGUGGGACUGUUCUGUGUCAGUAUCGACGGAAAGAGCAGAUUCUGAGAACUUACCCUGGAUUCAAAGAUGUAGAAUCGAUUAACUCGCUGCUGCUAUGUCCAAAGUCUCAGUAUAUUUCUCAUUUCGACCGAAUGGAUCUAAGCAAUCAGCACAACACAUGCUUUAUAGUAAGACGUGCGAGCAUGUUUAUUUCCACCACAACUGCAAACAGUGAAGGAAACAAAUAAGAGUCAGUCCGUCUGUCUGUCCAGCAAGUCAAUUUUGUUGUCGUUGAAGUCAAACACAACAGCAAUCAACAGUAAAAAAAAAAAAAAAAAAAAAAAAAAGACAUUGAAACCACAAACUAAUAUAUCCUCGC